rnacentral:rRNA from 1 species
CACGGGGGGAGCAAGCGUUGUUCGGAAUCACUGGGCGUAAAGGGUGUCUAGGCGGUCAGGUAAGUGAGAUGUGAAAUGCCCCGGCUUACCCGGGGACCUGCAUCUCAUACUGCCUGGCUUGAGUAUGGGAGAGGAUGAGGGAAUUCCUGGUGUAGCGGUGAAAUGCGUAGAUAUCAGGAGGAACACCGGUGGCGAAGGCGGGUCUCUGGGCCGAUACUGACGCUGAGGAGCGAAAGCGUGGGGAGCGAACAGG